rnacentral:tRNA from 1 species
CAAAAUGUAGCUUAACCAAAGCAUCUCGCUUACACUGAGAAAAUAUCUGUGAAACCCAGAUCAUCUUGA